UUUAGAGAGAGAGAAGUGGAGUAACAACCAACACUGCAGAAAUAUAAAGCAUUACAAGAGACUACUACAAAAAAUUACAUGGCAACAAAUUGGACCACUUAGAAAAAAAUGAAUACAUUCUUAGAAACACACAAUCUUUUAAAACUGAAUCAGGA